GUUCUGGGUUUGGAUCAAUCUGCAGUGGAGAUAGAGGAAGGAAAAUGAAACCAGCACUGCUCAAGAAAAAUAUAUUGUGAGCCACAUAUCACAUCUCAAUUUGGAACCUACAUGUCAAGUGCUCAGCAGCCACAGGAGGCCAGUAGCUGCCAUACCCGACAGAGCAGGAUGGAACAGCAGAUCAGAGCCGAGGACCAGGAUGGGCCUGACUGCUGCUGGAGGCGAGACUGAAGGAGCAGGGAGGAGGCAGGGAGGCCACAGGGAGGCUGUUGUGCAGGUCCGGGAGCAAGAUCCUGGUGCUGGCCUGGGAAGGUCAUUGUGGAGGCCAUGAGAAGUGGAUGGAUUCAGUACAAAGUUUGUGUCUUCCAGGUUGCAACAGUCUCACAUCCGAUGAUGGCUACGUGAGGAUUCUAGCCCAUAUUGCCCUCUGAUGCAAAAACAAAAGGCUGUCCUGCCCCUGGGGCCCCUAGGUUAGUCAUUCAGAGAUUUUUACUCCCUGAUAAGCAGGGGCAACGCUCCUACUCAGCCCAGAAGUAGCACCCGCAUAAGAUUUUGGGAGUAAAAUCUCUGAGGGGGUGGAAUGAGACAGGAGGGAAAGAAGCAGGGCACAGCCAUUCAAGGAAUGACACAGCAAUAAACACCAAAAUGGUGGAAGAUUCAACCCCUCAGUGAGCCUUGAGGCUCAAUAUGGUGGGAGAUUUGACUUCUCAUAGACCUUGAGCUUCAUUAUAUGCUCAUUGUAAUAUAUCCUGGUAAAUGGCACUACCACAGGCACUAUGACAGCUCCAAGGCUAACCGUGAAAGGUCAAAGAGUGGGCAGUGGCCAAAUUCCUGGGAAUCCCAGUCCCUUCCCCAGGGUGGUUAGAAUGAUCUUCCCACUUGUUAGCAUAUGAAGCUACUGAGCCCAUAAAAACUGGCAACACCAUGACACGUGGCAGCCUCUCUCGGUCCCUCAACUUCAGAGAUGGCCCGUACUCUGUCUAUGGAGUGUGUAUCUACUUUUACUUUAACCUGAGCACCCAACCCCAACACCUCAUGGCCUUUCUCUUGCCUUCUGAAACAGCCUACACUCUAUGCAGUAUGUAUCUCUCUAAAUAAAUCUACCUUUACUCAAAAAAAAAAAAAAAACAAAACAAAAAAACAACUGGGAAUAUCAGAACACCCUUAAAUCAGCUGGCAGGCACACACACACCAUGUGGGUCCACCCACAGGCUCACUCAGCCACAGCCCUUCUUCCCAGGCUGCCUGUCAUGUCAGAUGCCCACACUACCAGGCAUCUCUGUCUGCUCCUCCCUGGAGGGAACAAUGAGGCCACUGUGACCCUCACAGGAUUCUGAUGGCCUCACAUUGUCCUCCUGAGGUCACCACAGAGAUAACCUCACCACCCCCUGCACCUGAGGCACAAGUCUGCUGAGGCCAGCGUGGGUGAGCAUCCCUGGUCCUCCUUCUGGCUGCCCAGGGCAAGGCUCGGGCCAGAGCCCUACAAGGAAGCCUCUAAGGGCACCAGGACUUGGGACACACCUAAGCCACCAAGGAGCAACCCAGUAGAGAAUUCCAGCCACCAUCCUGGAGGUCCUCACACCCAGUUCCCUUCAUCUGCCCCAGGAAGAGAUGCAGAAAGACACUUCACUGCCGCUCCCAUCUGCACCCUUGGCCUCCAACAGUGUCCUGGGUGCUGGCCAGCAGGCCAGCAUGUCGGGGCUCCCUGGCAAAAGCAAGGCUGGGCGCCGUGCCUACACCAAAGCCCACCGGAAGCCCAGCAUAUCCAAGGUGAUCCUGGGGAUUGUGGCGGAAAAGGGGGCACGCAAUCGCGUCUCCCUGGCCACUCUGAAGAAGGCCAUUGCCACCAGGGGCUACAACAUGACACGCAACGCCUGGCGUUUCAAGCGAGUGCUCAGGGGCUUAGUGGACAAGGGCAUGCUCAAGCAGGUGACAGGCAAGGGGGCCUCGGCCUCCUUCCUCAUGGUCAAAAAGAACGCCUCCAAGUUCAGGCUCAAGGCUAAGAGACUGCAGCGGCGGCGGCAGCCUGGACAGCGCCAGCCUGGGCAGCGCCGGUUGCUCAGGGGCUCCAAACAGGGCCACAAGCGGCUCAUCAAGGGGGUUCGCAGGAUGGCCAAAUGCCGCCGCAGUUAACCAGGCAGGCUGGGCAAGCAGGCCGGGGUUCCAGGCCUGCCAUGGGCUCAGUGUGGUGCGAAUAAAAGGAG